rnacentral:rRNA from 1 species
GGACUACCCGGGUAUCUAAUCCUGUUUGCUCCCCACGCUUUCGCGUCUCAGCGUCACUACAAGUCCAGCAAGUCGCCUUCGCCACUGGUGUUCCUGCGAAUAUCUACGAAUUUCACCUCUACACUCGCAAUUCCACUUGCCUCUACUUGAGUCCAGGUCGCCAGUUUUGAAGGCAGUUCCGAGGUUGAGCCUCGGGAUUUCACCCCCAACUUAACGACCCGCCUACACGCGCUUUACGCCCAGUAAAUCCGAACAACGCUAGCCCCCUUCGUAUUACCGCGGCUGCUGGCAC